UACGUAGGGGGCAAGCGUUGUCCGGAUUUAUUGGGCGUAAAGAGCGUGUAGGCGGCCAGACAGGUCCGUUGUGAAAACUGGAGGCUUAACCUCCAGACGUCGAUGGAAACCGUUUGGCUAGAGUCCGGAAGAGGAGAAUGGAAUUCCUGAUGUAGCGGUGAAAUGCGCAGAUAUCAGGAAGAACACCCGUGGCUAAGGCGGUUCUCUAGUACGGUACUGACGCUGAGACGCGAAAGCGUGGGGAGCGAACAGG
rnacentral:rRNA from 1 species